AUUGAACGCUGGCGGCAGGCCUAACACAUGCAAGUCGGGCGGGCGGCGGCCGGGUGAUUAAUGUAUGGGGAUCUGCCUGAUGGAGGGGGUUACCUACUGGAAACGGUAGCUAAUACCGCAUACCAUCAGCUUCACCCAUAUGGGAUUAGCUUGUAGGUGAGGUAACGGCUCACCGAGGCGACGAUCCCUAGCUGGUCUGAGAGGAUGAUCAGCCACACGGGAACUGAGACACGGCCCAGACUCCUACGGGAGGCAGCAGUGGGGAAUAUUGCACAAUGGGCGAAAGCCUGAUGCAGCCAUGCCGCGUGUAUGAAGAAGGCCUUCGGGUUGUAAAGUACUUUCAGUCGGGAGGCGUUACCGACAGAAGAAGCACCGGCUAACUCCGUGCCAGCCGCCGCGGUAAUAC
rnacentral:rRNA from 1 species